rnacentral:lncRNA from 1 species
UCAAGAUCAAAGCACAAGAGAGGAGUACCUGAUGAAGGAGAAAGUUCAGAACCAUCAGGAGAGAAAGGAGGGGAAGGAUAUCUAUGCCACAUACCACAGCCCCUGCUGCUGUCUCCAGUAAUGUGGAGAGAAGUAAUUUGUUUUUCCUCAGCCGUGCUUUAUUGCAUUCACAAGGAAUAGUGAGUGUUACUUUGGUGGUAUUUGGCGACUGGAGGAUUUGUGAAGCGUGGAUCUUUAAAUCUCCUCAAAAUGGACCAUUCCCCGGAAGAAGAUGCACUUAGUUUUACUCAGCACAGAUCUUGAAGUUCAACAGACUGAAACAAAAUGCUGGAAGGUGAUUUGGGGAUUUGGUGGGAAGCAUGGAGGACACAGACAAAUAUUUAACAAGAAUUCAGCCUGAAUUCCCUGUGACAAAUUAAUGUGUGUGGUGUUUCCAGGGCAAGAUAUUGUAGAAGCCACAUUAACUAUUAAGGCUCAAGGGAAAAGGUAAGUGUAUGGUGUUGAUAUUUAAUAUAUUUU